rnacentral:lncRNA from 1 species
GCCGCCGGAGCCCGACGGAUCAGCUGGGAUCCGGGCGUGCCACUUUGUUCAGAGCCUCGGAGGCUGGGCGGUGCGUGCUCCUCCCGAGUUCCUCGUGCGAGCCGCCUCUCAGCCCUCCAUCUUCCCAGGACUUUUACGAGAGCUAGCCUGCGCUCCUGGCUGAGGAAGGAGAGCGGGUUUCAGAGUCCUGUGGGGGAGCUUUGCCUCCACCCCCCAGCUGAGACAAAUGUCAGCGGUGACCAGAAUAGUCCACUAGCGAUCACUAAUUUGAACACAAAAGAAACGUCCACCAGAACUCUUGGAGAAGUGACCUGACCUUAAGGGGUUUGGAGCCAACUUAAAAGUCCAGAACUUACGGGACUAGCGUGCACCAAUGAGGGAUAAGAGCUGUGGGUGCUCAAUGGUAUUGUUCAAGGCCAUGCAAAAUAUGGCCUCCAUGUUCUAGGACUGCAAAAUAAAUACAUCAACCAAAACCCAAGACCCACAUACAGAUUGGCAUCUUAAUGGUUCUACGAUGAAGGCCUGAAUCACAUCUGACUCUUCCCCUAGAAGGUGGUGAAAGUGCUAGUUUUGGUUGGCCACACUGGAGUUCAAUGAAGAAAGCCAGCCUAACUCUUCAAACUUGGUGCCCUCGGGCUGGAUCUGAAGAGCCUUGAUCCAUCUCCCACGGAUUGCCCCCAUAACUGGAUGGAAGAUGAGCCUAGGCUAUGUCUCUUGGGAGAGCUUCGCCUUCACUGCUGGCCCAAUAGGAGUGAGCCAUCAAAUAUGCUCAGUACGAACUGGAAGAGCAGCACUGCCUGCGCAGCCAGGGCUCCUGACAGCAGUGGCUGAGUUGGCGUGGAGAAACUCUCGGAACCAAGGGAGAAGAAGGGCAGCCAAGCAUGCUCUGGCCCUUCUUGGGAAACUAAAAAU